rnacentral:rRNA from 1 species
UGAAUACGAGAUGCUACGGCGUCGAAGCAGUCUAUGUCAUACUUCCAAGAAAAGCUCGCACUGUCAUAAACAAAUAAUGCCUGUACCAUAACCGACACAGGUGGGUAGGUAGAGUAUACUAAGGGGCGCGAGAUAACUCUCUCUAAGGAACUCGGCAAAAUGACUCCGUAACUUCGGGAGAAGGAGUGCCUUAUUUAUAAGGUUGCAAUAACAAGAUCCAAGCAACUGUUUAUCAAAAACACAGGUCUCCGCUAAGUCGUAAGACGAUGUAUGGGGGCUGACGCCUGCCCAGUGCCAGAAGGUUAAAGAAGUUGGUUAGCAUUCGCGAAGCUGAUAACUGAAGCCCUGGUGAACGGCGGCCGUAACUAUAACGGUCCUAAGGUAGCGAAAUUCCUUGUCGGGUAAGUUCCGACCCGCACGAAAGGCGUAAUGAUUUGGAUACUGUCUCGGAGAGGGGCUCGGUGAAAUAGACUUGUCUGUGAAGAUGCGGACUACCUGCACCAGGACAGAAAGACCCUAUGAAGCUUUACUGUAACUUGAGAUUGAAAUUGGACUUUACUUGCGCAGUAUAGGUGGGAGGCGUUGAUAAUAUUCUUGCGGGAUUAUUUGAGCCAUCAGUGAGAUACCACUCUUGUAAUGUUAGAUUUCUAACUUUGUAUCAUUAUCUGGUCAAAGGACAGUUUCAGGCGGGCAGUUUGACUGGGGCGGUCGCCUCCUAAACGGUAACGGAGGCGCACAAAGGUUUCCUCUGAACGGGUAGAAAUCGUAUCUAGAGUGUAAAGGCAUAAGGAAGCUUGACUGUGAGACCUACAAGUCGAGCAGGGACGAAAGUCGGUCUUAGUGAUCUGACGGUGCUGAGUGGAAAGGCCGUCACUCAACGGAUAAAAGUUACUCUAGGAUAACAGGCUGAUCUCCCCCAAGAGUUCACAUCGACGGGGAGGUUUGGCACCUCGAUGUCGGCUCAUCGCAUCCUGGGGCGGUAGUACGUCCCAAGGGUUGGGCUGUUCGCCCAUGAAAGCGGUACGCGAGCUGGGUUCAGAACGUCGUGAGACAGUUCGGUCCAUAUCCGGUGUAGGCGUUAGAAUAUUGAGAGGAGCCUUCUUUAGUACGAGAGGACCGAGAAGGACAUACCUCUGGUGUACCAGUUAUCGUGCCAACGGUAAACGCUGGGUAGCUAUGUAUGGAGUGGAUAACCGCUGAAAGCAUCUAAGUGGGAAGCCCACCUCAAGAUAAGUAUUCUC